UUUCAGGUUUGUGAUAUCAUAGAUUGCUAAUUGUAGCAAUAUUCAAACACCCAAAUGAAAAUUGUCAGAAGGAACUCGAGACAAUAAAUAGGCAGUAUCCAUUUGAACCUCUGAAGUACCUAGAGAAAACGUUGAAGCUAACGUACGAGGAAGGGAUUAAAAUGCUCAAGGAUUUCCGAUCCUAGCGGGAAAAGGAGGGAAACGGCGGCGCCCUUGGGCGUCGUUAUCCUUCUUGAAGGCAUCUCGGAAGAGUUCAUCCACUCAUCUCUGGGGUGUGGGCAAGUUGGUGGUAUAGUUUCGAGUUGGCUGAUGUCGGAAUUGUUGUUUCUUUUUUGUUUCUCUUCUUUUUUCGGGGCUUUGCACAAUUUUCCCUUUUAAAUCGCGUGGUUUUCGGCCUUGUUUUCCUCGUAAACAGGGCCAUUCUGUAAUUUUAUUUUCCUCUCUUAAUGAAUUGGGCAAAGCUCCCGCCUUUCUCCUAAAAAAGGCCUUUGUUGGGUAGACAAUACAUCUACAUAUAACAUCUGUGCAGACUACAAAUGUUUUCCCCAUUCCUUCCCAAAUUAGAAAAGGUAUAAUUAAUUUCAAUGACAUGUGGGUUUACCAAGGUAACCAAUCAAGCUAAACUGGAUUAGCAUUUUUUUCUACUCCCUCCGUCGUAAAAUAUAAGAGCGUUUUUGACACUAUACUAGAGUCAAAAACACUCUUAUAUUAUGGGACGGAGGGAGUAACUUCUAUGAAUGCCACACAAAUUGUAAUGGUAAUUUCUAUACAUGUGUGUGACUUUGCAGCAUACCAAUGAAGCCUUAAAAAUAACUUGGAUUGGUAAAAAGUAAAAUUAGACGGUGGGAGCUGUGUGAGUACGCAAGUUGUACCUUGUCGGUUUUGAUGACAAGAAGUCUCUCUAUGAGGGCAUCCAUAGCUUGAUGAUUUUGCACCUCUAAGAUUGCCUUUAAUGAUUUUCUGUUUGCCUUUAUAUA